GGGCUUGUAGCUCAGUGGUAGUAGCGCUCGCUUUGCAUUGAUAAACGUGCAGAUUUUCAGAUCAAACAUGCGAGAGGUCCGGGGUUCAAUCCCCCGUGAGUCCA
rnacentral:tRNA from 1 species